rnacentral:lncRNA from 1 species
GUUGAAAGUACAUUUUGACUUGUGUAUCUUCAAAACUGAAUUUCGACCCUUUGUCUUUCCAUGUAAACUCUUUUGCGCGAGAAAUCAUAUUUCUGUGUGUUGGAUUCUGAUGAGCUUUGUUUGCUUACUCAUAAAUAGGUUUGUUUGGUUUAACUAGACAAAGCUUAAAAUUCGAAUUUUGAUCUGGGCAUUUGGCGAGAAAUUAAGGUAAAAGCAGACUUGGAUUCGUGUUUCAGGUUUAAGUUUAGAUAUGUUUGUUUUUGUGCGAUGUUGAUUUUGGGAGGUCGGAGACGGUGAUCGGCCGGAGCGGACGGUGGCGGCCACCAAAGGUUGUCGUACCAGCUCGCGUCCGUCGAACUUCGCUCAUGAGGGAGGAGGUGGCUGCGAGAGAGAAUAUGUAUGAAGGGAAAGAGAAUAGCUUUAGGAAGAGAUAUUGGAAAUCAGUCAGUAAGUAAAGAGUUUUAGGUUUUGUUCAUCAACAUUUAAAUGUAUUCAUUGUCCUUGGUGUUUAAUUAAAUGACAGUUCUUAAUUGAGUCAGUGGUUAGCCUCCCCAUGCCUUGGGAAUACGCGUAUGGGGAAGAGGAAAGGAAUGUUUUGUUUUGUUUUGAUCUUCAGAGGUACUUCAAAAUCUGUUGUUUUUUUAUGUUCGUUAAAUGUGAUGGUGUUUAAUCAGUUUUAAUGGAAAGGGGGCUACAUUUAAGACCUUCGACUACCGCUAGCAGUUGACUGUUAGAAAGUAUCCAAGUGUCGCCCCGAUGUCAUCGCUAUCAUAAGAUGCAACUAUGGG